UCUGAAGCCAGACUGGCGUCGAUGGUGACGGACAGAAAGCGUCGGUCCACCCGGCGGAUCACCGCGGACAGGUCCGCCAUCACCGCCGCGUCCAGACGCUCCGAAGAGUUCUGGUUCUGGAGCCUAAUGUGGACCCCGAGCGGGCAGAUCCAACGGAACCAUCAGCAGCUCGUCCACUUCCUCCUGCAGAGCUGCAGCUUUUUCAUUCAGCAGCAUCUGGAACACAGAGACGCUCGUCAGAGAUCGAGAUGUCAGCUGACGAGGAGCCGACAGGAGGAAACUUGCCCUUACUGCCUGCGUACUCCUCCACCAUGAAGUCCAGCUCCAGGCCGAAGCUCGCUAACCCGCGGACCUGCAGAACAACCAGGCAGCCGUUAACGAAAGAAAGGUUCCCACACCUCCACCUCACUGUGGAAUAAAUCACUGGUGUAACAAACCCAUCAGACAUCUGAAGCACCUGUCCACCUGUCACAGUAUCAGUCAUCUGUGAUCAUCUGUCAUCAAAGUGCUGCAUGCUGAAUGU